rnacentral:lncRNA from 1 species
UCUUUUCAUACAAUCUGAAUGUUGCCGAUCCACUUACUAAUAAUAGUAACUUGGGAAAAAAGAUAAGAACAAAAUAAUUUAAUGCUCUUAUUCUUUCCUAUAAAUACCCAACAUUGAGCAACUUCAUUUUCAUCCAUCAUAUACUUAUAUCGAUACACAUAAUUAAGUUUCAAAGUGAGUACUUCUUGAAAAUGAAUUCCAAGGCGUUACUUUUUCUAGCCAUGUUGUUGGCUUCCAUCCUUCUCAUUUGUGCAGAGUCUGCACCCAAAGACUUGGACAACAAAGAUGGUAAUACUAAUUUUUUACAUUUAGUAUAAUUUCCCACCAUUAUUAUAUGUUUAGCAUAAUUUUACUAAGAUUUUUUCAAGAAAAAAAUAAACUUAGUAAAAUAAUAUACUAAGUUUAAAAAAUAAAGUAUUUAUUAUUUGUACGUUAUAUGAAAAUAAGAUAGCUUCACUGCUAGAAAAAGUUAAACAACCAUAGGAAUUUAGAGAUAGAAAAAUUGAAAAUCCAUCUCUAAUUAGUUAACUAUUAGAGUGGAAUAAUUUAGUGGUAAAUUGUUUUUUUUUUUUUUUUUUUUUUUUUUUUAUCUAAUUUUGGAUGCCAUUCAAGUUUUUAUAGUAGUGCAAUCGAGAUGUUAUAAAUUUGACUACAAUUUAAUUAUAUUUUUAUUUAUGGUUUGUAGAAAAAAUAGACACAAAUGGAUAUUAUGGAGGUGGGGGUUAUGGUGGUAGGGGUGGUUAUGGUGGUUGGCGCGGUGGUUAUGGUGGUAGGGGUGGAUAUGGUGGAUGGCGUGGUGGUUAUGGUGGUGGACGUGGUGGUGGUGGUUGGCGUGGGGGAUAUGGUGGUGGCCGCGGCGGUUGGGGUGGUGGUUGGCCUGCCGAAAACCAUGAUGCUUAUACUGAUGCUGAACCUCAGAACUAAGCAAGAACUUGAGCUAGAGUCGGUUCAUAGUACUACUACAAUAAAUAAAACUUCAUGUGUGAAGUGUACUUAUGUAGAAAAAGGAAACAUAUACAAUAAAAGUUAGAAUCCUAUGAUCUAGUGUACCUGUUAAAUGAAUAAUACACUUAAUUAACCUUAC